UGUAAAUUGACGCCUCCAGAUGGCAGCACACAUUUCCGUGUAUGUCCCUUUAACGUGUGCAUCGUACGUGUAUACUGGUUGAUCAAAAUGACGGAAGGUACAGCUACUAUCAGAACAAGGAAGUUUAUGACCAAUCGGCUUCUAUGCCGAAAACAAAUGGUCGUAGAUGUCAUCCAUCCAGGCCAGCCGUCGGUCCGGAAAACUGAAAUCCGUGAGAAAUUGGCCAAAAUGUACAAAGUAACGCCAGAUGUUGUCUUUGUGUUUGGUUUCCAAACCAACUUCGGCGGUGGCAAGUCCACCGGAUUUGCACUUAUUUAUGAUACCUUGGACUUUGCCAAGAAGUUUGAGCCUAAAUACAGGUUAGCAAGGCAUGGACUGUUCGAGAAGCAAAAACAGACGAGGAAACAGCGUAAGGAACGUAAGAAUAGGAUGAAGAAAGUGAGGGGCACCAAAAAAAGUAAAGUUGGUGCAGCUUCUAAAAAGGGGAGGAAGUAGACAAAUGCUCAUUUGCACUACAGACUUCUGGAGGGGCAGUAUCUUAUUUAUGAUGUUUAUGUAAUACCCGCAAGCCUUUAUGAAGAUUAUGGUUCUCCCAUCGUCGACGUAAAACUUAUUGUUAAUUAUGACAUUUUUACCUUUGCUGUAAUUAUAAUAAAUUUUACGUAAUAAAGGCAAGACUCUUCUAUA